rnacentral:rRNA from 1 species
AGCCUUUAGCAAAACAAGUAUUAAAGGUGACGCCUGCCCAGUGAAAUUUUAACGGCCGCGGUAUCCUAACCGUGCAAAGGUAGCGUAAUCACUUGUCUUAUAAAUAAAGACCCGUAUGAAUGGCUAAAUGAAUAUUUAACUGUCUCCUUUAACUAAUCAGUGAAACUGAUCUCUCAGUACAAAAGCUGAAAUAUGAACAUAAGACGAGAAGACCCCGUGGAGCUUUAAACUUUUAACAAGAUAGAACAAAACAGGUAUUUAUGAUAAAAAGUUUUUAGUUGGGGCGACUUUGGAGUAAAACUUAACCUCCAAGAAAAGGCAUCGCCUAUUCAAGGCUAACAAGCCAAACUAUAAAGACCCAGCACAUACGCUGAUCAACGAACCAAGUUACCCCAGGGAUAACAGCGCCAUCUUCUUCAAGAGUUCAUAUCGACAAGAAGGUUUACGACCUCGAUGUUGGAUCAGGACACCCAAAUGGUGCAGCCGCUAUUAAAGG